GAAAGACCCGCUCGAAAUGCCCCUGAGCCCCCUGCCCCGAAGCUGCCGGGGCCUCCCAAGCCUUCAUCCCGGCAGGGCUCGGUCCCCCGGCCCACCCCGCCUGGCACCGCGCCUCGGGGCUGGGGCCGAGCAACGAGCACCAGAUGGGCAGGCCCGAGAACGAGCACCAGGUAGGCUGGGGCCGAGCAACGAGCACCAGAUGGGCAGGCCCGAGAACGAGCACCAGGUAGGCUGGGGCCGAGCAACGAGCACCAGGUGGGCCGGCACGAGGGCGAGCACCAGGUGGGCCGGCAUGAGAACGAACACCAAGGGAGCCGGCCUGGAGCCCUGCCCCUGAGCCCCGCCCAAUGAGAAACACUCCGUCCCAAGGUCUCCGCCCCCAAGGUCAGCCAUCUGGACGCGGAGGGAGGGGGAAUUGAGUCUGUUGUACCAGACACCAGACCUUGAGAAUAUGCUGAUCUGGAAUGGCUCUGUGUCUCAUUUGAACCAUCCAAUAGAAAUGAUUCUGUAUUUCGCCUCAUUUGAAAGACUCUGUGUUUCACCUCAUUUGAAUAACUCUG
rnacentral:lncRNA from 1 species